CCUUUGUGGGAAAGACACACUCCAAGCGGCCAGCAUUCUGUGUCCUUCAAUGCAAGUUGUCAACACCCUCUUCAGACCAGCAGCUGGGACCCUCCAAGCAACAGUUCCCAGAAGCCAUGACAUGUCCCUGCAGCUGGAAGGCCUUCCAGGGAGAGCUGUGGAGGCCUCCUGGGCCCAGUGUUGCCUAUGGAGGAAGGAAGACAAAGAUUGACCUUCAGGUCAAUGAAG